AUUGAACGCUGGCGGCAUGCCUUACACAUGCAAGUCGAACGGCAGCACGGGUGCUUGCACCUGGUGGCGAGUGGCGAACGGGUGAGUAAUACAUCGGAACAUGUCCUGUAGUGGGGGAUAGCCCGGCGAAAGCCGGAUUAAUACCGCAUACGAUCUACGGAUGAAAGCGGGGGACCUUCGGGCCUCGCGCUAUAGGGUUGGCCGAUGGCUGAUUAGCUAGUUGGUGGGGUAAAGGCCUACCAAGGCGACGAUCAGUAGCUGGUCUGAGAGGACGACCAGCCUCACUGGGACUGAGACACGGCCCAGACUCCUACGGGAGGCAGCAGUGGGGAAUUUUGGACAAUGGGCGAAAGCCUGAUCCAGCAAUGCCGCGUGUGUGAAGAAGGCCUUCGGGUUGUAAAGCACUUUUGUCCGGAAAGAAAUCCUUGGCCCUAAUACGGUCGGGGGAUGACGGUACCGGAAGAAUAAGCACCGGCUAACUACGUG
rnacentral:rRNA from 1 species